GACCUCUUAGCUCAGUGGUAGAGCGUGAGAUUCCAGUUGGCUCACCAGCCUGGCCUCCUCAAGGUCGUCCGUUCAAUCCGGGCAGGGGUCA
rnacentral:tRNA from 1 species